CCCGCCUCGCGCUGCUGCUCCUCUCCGGCUUGCGCGCGCGCACAGGCGCACACACACACACACGCACAUAUACACAAGCACAACCACUCUGGACCAGCUUCGGUGCGCAGGGCUGCUGCUACCGCAGUCGCCUUUAAACUCUCCCCAUCAUUUCCUCCCUCCCCCCUCCCCAUUCUGGAGCUUCCUCCACUAUUCAGAGACUGGCGAGGGAAGACUCCCUCCUCAGCAAGUCUAAUUUUGUCAUUAUUUUUAUUUUAUUUUGUGCAGCUGCUCCUUUGAGCGCCUCCUGGUGCUCCCAAGGUUUCGCAGGGAAGCAGCUAUGAAGAGGAAACUGAUGCUCAACACGAUGCAGUUGGUUCUUGUUGUCUUGGGGUGCUUGCCUGCAAGAUCAGUGUUGGCUGACCCCAGUGAAGACGAAGCAAAAAAUAUCACCAUCUUCACAAGAAUUUUAGACAGACUUCUGGACGGCUACGACAAUCGUCUGAGACCUGGAUUGGGAG